UCCUACGGGAGGCAGCAGUAGGGAAUCUUCCGCAAUGGGCGAAAGCCUGACGGAGCAACGCCGCGUGAGUGAUGAAGGUCUUCGGAUCGUAAAACUCUGUUGUUAGGGAAGAACAAAUUUGUUAGUAACUGAACAAGUCUUGACGGUACCUAACCAGAAAGCCACGGCUAACUACGUGCCAGCAGCCGCGGUAAUAAUCA
rnacentral:rRNA from 1 species